rnacentral:rRNA from 1 species
CUGCCCAAGAGAUCGGGAUAACACCUGGAAACAGAUGCUAAUACCGGAUAAUAACAGAUGAUGCCUAUCAACUGUUUAAAAGAUGGUUCUGCUAUCACUCUUGGAUGGACCUGCGGUGCAUUAGCUAGUUGGUAGGGUAACGGCCUACCAAGGCGAUGAUGCAUAACCGAGUUGAGAGACUGAUAGGCCACAUUGGGACUGAGACACGGCCCAAACUCCUACGGGAGGCAGCAGAU